rnacentral:lncRNA from 1 species
GGAAGCCAGAGCUUUGGCGCAGGCCGCCUGCGCGCUGUGCCAGGAAAGCGCUUGGAGAAAAUGUCCGGCCCCGCGACCUGGGACAGGAAGUGAUGGAGCACGGACUUAGUUUGCCUUUCAGUUCUUGUAUAAAUAGUUUUGAGGGUUGUCUCUGAAUUUUCACUCAGUUGUCUACCAAGAUGUUGAAUGGACCCAGAGCCAAGGACGUGGUCUUUUAUCAGUGGCACCUGAGACUUUCUUCCCUGUGGACGCAAAUCCAUUAUUCAGCACUCUGGGCACAGCUACAGAUCUGAUCAGCUAUCCAUUCUCCAAACUAUCUCAUCCUCUGUCCCAUUUUUCUGUCUCUCUUGUCCACAAGGCAUAUACCUGAGAGUUUUCAAAUUCCUCAGAGAAAUUUAGAUAUUCUGUGGCUUUGGCAUUCACCUAAUGUGUUAAUCUACAAACCUUUUUUACAGUGUGGAUUUUUUUUCAUGAUGUGAAUUCAAGUGGUUUCUAAUGGUCUCUUCAUAAAGUUGUAAACCAAAAGUAAAAUUCUAAGGCCCCACCCCAUCUGAAUGGACCCCUUCUCUGGGCCAGGGCACUCCAAAUUAACCUGAAAACCGUUCAGGCCACGACAUGAAGUGGGGGCGGGUGGGACAUGGCUGACUAUGCCCUCCUCCCUUUUGGAAUUCAGGGAAAGCCAACACAGACCUUAAGUCUAAUGAGAAACACCAUCUAUUCUCUCUGAAGCCUGCUACCCCAAGGCUUCUUCUGCUGAUAAAACUUUGGUCUCCACAACCUCUUAUAACCCAGACAUUCCUUUCUAUUGGUAAUAACUCUCAACUAAUUGCCAAUCAGAACAUUUUUAAAUCUACCUAUAACCCAGAAGCCCCCACUUUGAGUUGUCCUGCCUUUCUGGACUGAACCA